GGGAAACUCACCAGGUCCAGACAUAAUAAGGAUUGACAGAUUGAUAGCUCUUUCUUGAUUUUAUGGGUGGUGGUGCAUGGCCGUUCUUAGUUCGUGGAGUGAUUUGUCUGCUUAAUUGCGUUAACGAACGAGACCUUAACCUGCUAAAUAGGAGCGCCUAUCUUCGGAUAAGCGCCUUUCUUCUUAGAGGGACGUCGCGUGUCUAACGCGAGGAGGUGUGAGGCAAUAA
rnacentral:rRNA from 1 species